rnacentral:tmRNA from 1 species
GGGGGCGAGUUAGGCUCGACAGAUGGAGCGGGGACAAGGGAUAAGCGAGCCGAGGUUCCACCUGCUCGUUAAACGGUGGGCAAAAAUAAACGCAGACAAGACUGCGCUUCCUGCGGCUGCCUAAUUAAGCCGCACGCUCAGGCGUCCCUCGCCCGCGGGGCCGUCUGGGUGUCAUCCUAGCGGGCUGCCCGUCGGCUGCCUCCUGACGGCCUGACGGAAAGACUCUAUCAGGAUAGCAGGGCCUCGCGGCCCGCCCGCCGGUUGGGGCCCUGCGAAGGCAAUAGGCGGGAUACGCUCGUAGAAACCCUUGUCACUGCCCUUCUGGACCAGGGGUGCAACUCCCCUGCGCCUCCACCA